GCUGCAGUGAAACCUCGGAGUUUCUGUCAGACUGCUGGAUGAAAUUGCAGCUUCCUUGCUCGUGUGUGCUCCGGCUCCCUUUCAGCUCCACGCAAGCAGCCUGCCCUGCAGAGAGCUUGGCCCAGCUAUCCUUGCUGAAGUUGGAUACUGAAGUCCUACAAAUGCAGAGUCAAAAGACAGCAAGAGAAAGGAUGAGCAGUGUAGUGUCUCCUGCGGAGAAUUCUACAGCAGAGCCCCCAUCAAGAGCUCCCAAGCAUCUGCUUUGCUGGCAAGCAACAAGUCUCCAGCAGCUCAGUAGAGUUUGCUGCGUAAUUUUCUUUUGGCCAUAAUGUUUCUGUGGUGUGCAACAUUGCCCACUAACUCUUUUUGUGUCAUUGAACAGCAAGAAGUGGAUAACAACCAUCUUCUUUUUCACUUUUCCUCUCUACUAAUGGGCAAGAAGACUUGGACUAUCUGUGAGGCAGCUUGUUUUCAGCCACAAGAGGAAGCAGAAGGAACGGUCUUAUACUCUAAAACGGGAACAGGGAACAUAUAUAUAGCCAACCCCUACCACCCACUAUAGACAAUUUGUGCAUAUAAAAGCAUAUUGCUGAAGAAAUACCCCAAGACCACUUUUUAAAUGAAAACAUGUGAGUUCAGAAAUUGUAACUCUUUUCUUCCACUCUUUGUUUGCCACAUAACUGUGUAUACCACCACUGACAUUUCCUCACUAUCUGCAAGUAGAUUUGCAUGCAGAGCACUUUUUAAAUUGAGGUUUCAGAUUAAUAUCACAGGAAAUUUAAAUUUUUAGAUCUGAACAAUAAAUCAGAUUGGAGGCAGUGCAUGAAAAAACCUAAAACUUCAGCAACUGGCAAAACACAAUUCUACUCAAGAAGGAAAUUUUCCCAUAAGGUACCUAGCCAAAUUUUUAAUGACAUCAGUAGAUGAAGGGAAGAACCUUGCAAUUCAUCACAUCAUUAUCACAUACAUAUCUGACAGCAUGUAUGCAGACAGACAUGCUAUAUAUGUUGUUCAAAACCAAUGUUUUCUGUUCAAUUUUGUUCUUUUCUCCAAGAAAAAGAAACUUUAAAAUAUGUGAUACCUGAUACAAAUUCAAAUUCUAAAUAGUUUUAGUUAGUAAAAAUCAUCCAAAGCCAAUAAAAACCAUUAACUGUUUUCCUCCCUAAAAAUAAUAAGCAAUCUAUUAAUAUUUGGUACAGUACAAAGUAAAUAUCUGUUUUCUUUUAAAUAUUAGAAGGAUAUCCAAAUCUCUGAAGACUUCUUUUUUAAAGAUGGUGGCUACUGUAAUUCUGAUUUUUUUCACCACUUCUUAUAGUUUAUUAGAGACAUACAGAGUUUCCCCUUUUUUCAUCAUCAGCAUGACAGUGAGCUGCAACAUGAACAAUUCACACUCCUAGCUGUGGCUGUAAACAGAGAAUGCUGUUGGCAGUGACUAACAUGACCUGAGGAGAACGCUUGUACUCUCGAUAAAAAGGAUUCUCCCCCAUCCUUUGCCUCAGGAGGAAAAUUGAAACAUGACCCUGAUGGAGUGUAAGCAGUGAGAGGUCCUCAUGCAAGUGGUUGUUUUAAGAAGAAAUGAAAUCAUGUGAAAGUGGUUGAUUGCAAUGAACAUUUCGUUAAUCUAGAACUUGCUUUUAGUGCUCAGUACCAUGGCAAGUUUGAUACUUCCAUUCACUUUAAGAAAUGUAAACAUAGAGAUGUAAAUUUUCACUCUUGCAUUCUACAUUUUGAUUAACACCUGCCUGUAUUUUUUGUACUGAAAGUUCCCUGGUUUUAUUCUCACUGAAAAUUACGAAGUUCAAUAAAUUAUCUAAAACAACAUAGAAGUUCA